UAAGUAUAACCUGCCAGACAGGGAAACUGCGUACGGCUCAUUACACCAGCCUUAAUUUACUUGACCUUGACAACCUACUUGGAUAACUGUGGUAAUUCUAGAGCUAAUACAUGCACCAAAGCUCCGAUCCUCGCGGAGAGGAGCGCAUUUGUUCGCCACAAAACCAAGCGCCCAUCUGGGCGUCCAGUGCUGAACCAGAACAACUCAGCUGAUCGCACGGUCUUGUACCGGCGACGUGUCUUUCAAGUGUCUGCCUUAUCAACUUUCGAUGGUAGUGUACCUGACUACCAUGGUUGUGACGGGUAACGGAGGAUAAGGGUUCGACUCCGGAGAAGGGGCCUGAGAAAUGGCCACUACGUCUAAGGAUGGCAGCAGGCGCGCAAAUUACCCACUCUCAACGCGAGGAGGUAGUGACGAGAAAUAACGAGACCGUUCUCAUACGAGGCCGGUUAUUGGAAUGGGUACAAUUUAAA
rnacentral:rRNA from 1 species